rnacentral:lncRNA from 1 species
ACAUAACCCCCUUUUUCAUAUACACACACCACCCACUUCCCACUCUCUCUUACCCAACUUCCAUUUUUCUCACUCUCUACUAGAACUAGGCAUGUUAAGCUUCCAUCUCUCUUUUCUUGUAUUUUUUUAGUAUUUUUCCAAGUUUAAUGCUUUAACUGUUGUAGUAUUCUUAGUAGAUUUUUUUCUUUUGAUUUUCUUUUUCUGCUUUUUAGUAGGUUAUGUGCACAAUGUUGUAGAGAAGAUUGUGGUUUUGUUGUGUAAAAAUUAAUUGUGGUGGGGUGGAAUGAUAAGUGAGAAUGGUUGAUCUAGAGUUUGAGUUAAGCUUCCAUGUGGUUAGGUGUGUUAGAAUAGAGACCAUGCUAAUAAUGUAUUUGUGGAAUUUCCCCAAUGGAGUUGUAAUGGCUAAUGUGACCACGAUGGUGGUGAAGUCUGAGUAACCACCCAAGGUUCACACAACUCAAACCCUCAUUAAUGUGAGCCUCUAUUUUUGGUAGGUAUAACGCACAAAUCAAGGAAGCGACGUACCAUUGGGUCCUCUACUAGUGGAUGGGUAGUUCUUCUAGAGCUCGGGGUCAAGCUAGUGUAGAACAGUUUGACCAGGCCAGGUUUUUCUCCAAACCAGCUGAGGACAAGUAUAAUGCCAAGGCGUCCAAGAC